rnacentral:rRNA from 1 species
UACGGGGGGAGCUAGCGUUGUUCGGAAUUACAGGGCGUAAAGCGCGCUUAGGCGGAUUUUUAAGUCAGGGGUGAAAUCCCGGGGCUCAACCCCGGAACUGCCUUUGACACUGGUAUGCUAGAGUACGGGAGAGGUGAGUGGAAUUCCGAGUGUAGAGGUGAAAUUCGUAGAUAUUAGGAAGAACACCGGUGGCGAAGGCGCCCCACUGGAUGGUUACUGACGCUGAGGUGCGAAAGCGUGGGGAGCAAACAGG